CCUACGGGUGGCAGCAGUGAGGAAUAUUGGUCAAUGGUCGGGAGCCUGAACCAGCCAAGCCGCGUGAGGGAGGAAGGUCCAGCGUAUCGUAAACCUCUUUUGUCAGGGAACAAAGGCGGGGACGUGUCCCCGGAUGAGUGUACCUGAAGAACAAGCAUCGGCUAACUCCGUGCCAGCAGCCGCGGUAAUCCGGAGGAUGCGAGCGUUAUCCGGAUUUAUUGGGUUUAAAGGGUGGGCAGGGGGUCUGUUAGGUCAGCGGUCAAAGCCCGGGGCUCAACCCCGGCCCGCCGUUGAAACUGGCAGUCUAGAGUUGGAGAGAAGUAGGCGGAAUGCGCGGUGUAGCGGUGAAAUGCAUAGAUAUCGCGCAGAACUCCGAUUGCGAAGGCAGCAUGCCGGAUCCUAACUGACGCUGAGGCACGAAAGCGUGGGUAUCGAACAGGAUUAGAUACCCGUGUAGUC
rnacentral:rRNA from 1 species